rfam:Brevibacillus laterosporus LMG 15441, complete genome.
AAGGCUAUAUCCUAUUGGAAUAGCACUUCCAUUUAAGAAGUAUGCUAGGAAAACAACUGAAACAAAAAUCUGCUCUAAGCCUAAAUGGACCGAGACAGAAGG